rnacentral:snRNA from 1 species
UGCGGAUGCUAACGCAAUGU